rnacentral:rRNA from 1 species
UGCCAGCAGCCGCGGUAACACGGGGGGCGCAAGCGUUAUUCGGAAUUAUUGGGCGUAAAGGGCGCGCAGGCGGUCUUGUCCGUCAGGUGUGAAAAUCCGGGGCUCAACCCCGUGAAAUGCAAGCGAUACUGGCGGACUGGAGAUCGGUAGAGGCUAGCGGAAUUCCUGGUGUAGCGGUGGAAUGCGUAGAUAUCAGGAAGAACACCCGUGGCGAAGGCGGCUAGCUGGGCCGAGUCUGACACUGAACCGCGAAAGCGUGGGGAGCAAACAGGAUUAGAUA